rnacentral:lncRNA from 1 species
CCUAGGGCUGUGGACUGAAGGGUGACUGGUUCCACAGUGGUCUCCAUGGGAACAGUUGUUUCUGGAGUCUUCCAAGGAGAAAUUCUCACAGUGGACCUGAUCUCUGGGCUGAUGCUGGGUUUCUUGGAGUUCAUGAUUUUGAGAGCUGUAGACAUUUCUGGGCUUCCUGGGGAUGUGCCUGUGAUUAGAAAAAGCUCCAGAGCCCAGUGAGCGAGCUGGACAGCUGCCCAGGUGACCUCCCAUCAAACCCCAGUCUAACUGGACACUAGGCACCGUCACGAGAAAGACUGAUAGAUCUCAGAUGGGAAGGGGUUCAUUUUAUAAGUAAUCACAAAUUAAAAUGUGACAAGUGGCCAGGCACAGUGGCUUGCCCCUGUAAUCUCAACACUUUGGGAGGUCAAAGUGGGAGGAUCACCUGAGCCCAGGAGUUUGAGACCAGCCUGGGUAGUAUAGCGAGACACCAUCUUUACAAAAUAAUUUUUAAAAUUAGCUGGGCAUGGUGACAUGCACCUGUAGUCCCAGCUCCUCUGGAGGAUGAAGUAGGAAAAUUGCUUGUGCCCAAGAGUUCAGGGUUCCAGUGAGCUAUGAUUGCUCCACUGUACUCCAGCCUGGAUGAGAGAGUGAGACUGUCUCUUUAAAAAUAAAUGAAUUAAAAUAGAGUAACAUUCUGUUUAGAGCAUAGAUUCUUAACCUCUUUUUAUUAUAGGUCCCUUUGACAGGCUUGUGAACUAUAUGAAUUCCUUUAUAAAUUAAAAUAAAAAUGUAGAAUAAAACAUAAAAUAACAACAUAAAAUAUUAGAUUACAAAGGAAAUAAUUGUGGAUAAAGAAAAUCUGGUACACAUACACCUUGGAGUACUACGCAGCCAUGAAAAAGAAUGAAAUCAUGCUCUUUAAAGCAACAUGGAUGGAGCUGAAGGCCAUCAACCUAAGCAAAGUAACUCAAAAACAG